rnacentral:rRNA from 1 species
UACGUAGGGUGCGAGCGUUAAUCGGAAUUACUGGGCGUAAAGCGUGCGCAGGCGGUUCGUUGUGUCGGCGGUGAAAGCCCCGGGCUCAACCUGGGAAUGGCCGUUGAAACUGGCGAACUGGAGUGUGGCAGAGGGGGGGUGGAAUUCCGCGUGUAGCAGUGAAAUGCGCAGAUAUCGGAAGGAACAUCAGUGGCGAAAGCGGCUUCCUGGACCAGCACCGACGUCAGGCACGAAAGCCGUGGGGAGCAAACAGG